UGCUCUGUCUCAUCCUGCACUUGCCGACUUGAUGUUAUGACAAAAAAGCAAAUGCAGGUUCACAAAAGCAUUGUAUGAAGCAAACAGUGCCUUUGAUUCUGGAGAUUUGCCAGCCCAGCAGUAUCAAAGCUGAGCCUUCCGUGGCCUCUGUUCACGGGGCUGUGAGGUGUCAGGAGCCAGGCUGCGGUGACGGGGCCGGGACUCAGGGUGCCCGGGGUACGUGUACUGACCAGGGCUGUGCCAGCAUGGCACGUCGCGUUUCUGUGCAUUCAGCGCCCACCAAAAGACUGAGUCCUGGGCUUUGCAUGAACACAAGACUGCCUUUCCCUCUCUGUGGCUGAUAUUUGAACGCUAAAGUGACUUUUACAGGAGACAAAAGGCAACAGUGACAGCGAAUACACUGAACACCAGGGUAGGGCAAUAGAAAGCCCACCCUGCAGUUUACCGGGGCUGGGUGAGGAGUGGGCGCUGAGCUGGCCCCGAGCAUGCUGCAGGGUGCCAUAGCCUCCUGCGCUAGUCCUGUGCCUUUGGGACAGCCCUUGGACACCGCUCUGGGCACAGCUGGGCACAGUCCCGGCCCAAACACUGCCCGGGCUCUCGCUGGCUGCCCGGCCCAGCUCCUGGCGAGGGCAGGAAUCGGCACCGCGCUCGCAAGGGCUGGACGGCGUCCGCUCCUCGCCGCCUCCCCCACAAACAGUUGUUUGUCUUAAGUUGGGAUUUUUUUUUUCCCUGGGGCUGCCACAGAUUUUCCACCUCCGGGGCCAACCAACGGCCAGGGACGGAGGCUCAUUAGUGGCCAUGAGGGCGGCCGUCCCCGCCAGUGCCAGGCCUGUCUGCUGAGGGAGGCGGGCGGCAGCUUCGCGUCAAAUGCAAACAACCGUCCUUGUUUUCCUUGGUUGCCAGGGUAGGAGUUGACAUUGUCCCCAGCGGAGCACAAGGACUCCCCGUGACAUGGCGGGGACAAUGGGAAGAAACAAUUCAGAAAGUGACGCAUUACUUCUGCCUGUGGACAGAGGGAACAGCUGAAACGUGGGAGACCAGACUACAGCUGUGUGACUACAGCUUUUUUUUCUUUUUUUUUUCCUUUUUUUUUUUUUUUUUUUUUUUUUUGACAACACAUAUUUUAGUGAAUAAAAGCUACUGAUUCUC